GCGAGUCGAAUGUAGCAAUACAUGGCGAACUGCUCAGUAACACGUGGACAACCUGCCCUUAGGUUGGGUAUAAACCCGGGAAACUGGGUAUAAUACCCGAUAGGUCUCGAUUGCUGGAAUGCAUCGAGAUUUAAAGCUCCGGCGCCUAAGGAUGGGUCUGCGGCCUAUCAGGUAGUAGUGGGUGUAGCGUACCUACUAGCCUACGACGGGUACGGGUUGUGAGAGCAAGAGCCCGGAGAUGGAUUCUGAGACACGAAUCCAGGCCCUACGGGGUGCAGCAGGCGCGAAAACUUUACAAUGCUGGCAACAGCGAUAAGGGAACCUCGAGUGCCAGGUUACAAAUCUGGCUGUCGAGAUGCCUAAAAAGCAUUUCAUAGCAAGGGCCGGGCAAGACCGGUGCCAGCCGCCGCGGUAACACCGGCGGCUCGAGUGGUAACCGUUAUUAUUGGGUCUAAAGGGUCUGUAGCCGGCCGGAUAAGUCUCUUGAGAAAUCUGGCAGCUUAACUGUCAGGCUUUCAGGAGAUACUGUCUGGCUCGAGGCCGGGAGAGGUGAGAGGUACUUCAGGGGUAGGGGUGAAAUCUUGUAAUCCUUGAAGGACCACCAGUGGCGAAGGCGUCUCACCAGAACGGACCUGACGGCAAGGGACGAAAGCUAGGGGCACGAACCGGAUUAGAUACCCGGGUAGUCCUAGCCGUAAACGAUACUCGCUAGGUGUCGGCCACGGUGCGACCGUUGUCUGUGCCGUAGGGAAGCCGUGAAGCGAGCCACCUGGGAAGUACGGCCGCAAGGCUGAAACUUAAAGGAAUUGGCGGGGGAGCACCACAACGGGUGGAGCUUGCGGUUUAAUUGGAUUCAACGCCGGA
rnacentral:rRNA from 1 species